CGGGACGGGUGAGUAAUGUCUGGGAAACUGCCUGAUGGAGGGGGAUAACUACUGGAAACGGUAGCUAAUACCGCAUAACGUCGCAAGACCAAAGAGGGGGACCUUCGGGCUUCUUGCCAUCGGAUGUGCCCAGAUGGGAUUAGCUAGUAGGUGGGGUAACGGCUCACCUAGGCGACGAUCCCUAGCUGGUCUGAGAGGAUGACCAGCCACACUGGAACUGAGACACGGUCCAG
rnacentral:rRNA from 1 species